rnacentral:rRNA from 1 species
CAGUAGCCGCGGUAAUACGGAGGGUGCAAGCGUUAAUCGGAAUUACUGGGCGUAAAGCGCACGCAGGCGGUCUGACAAGUCAGAUGUGAAAUCCCCGGGCUCAACCUGGGAAUUGCAGUGGAUACUGGGUCACUAGAGUGUGGUAGAGGAUAGUGGAAUUUCCGGUGUAGCAGUGAAAUGCGUAGAGAUCUGGAGGAAUACCGGUGGCGAAGGCGGCCCCCUGGACAAAGACUGACGCUCAGGUGCGAAAGCGUGGGGAGCAAACAGGAUUAGAUACCCGAGUAGUCCCUGUCUCUUAUAC